rnacentral:piRNA from 1 species
UGCUUUCUUAAAAGUAGCGUGUGCACGUGC